GGGCAUUCUCAAGCGAUUGGAAGAGUUUGCUCUGGUAGCUAGUAGUUCUUCACCACCGACCCCCCCACCUUCACAAUUGGUUUCCACAAGUAGUGUUGCUCAAUGGAUAGAGCGCGUUGAUCGUUGUUUGGAUUGUCACGAGAGGUAAAACCAGGUAAAUUUCCCAAAUGAUGCGAGCUUAUGUAGAAUAUAUUGGGAUGGACAUGACUACUUUUCCCUUAUUGCCUACGGAUUUAGACUCUGAUGAUGAUUUUGGUGGAGAUGAUGAGAGGGCCCAAUAGACUGCAGCUUCAGAGUUAAGGGAGUAUUUUUGUCCUUUUUCUCUAAUUUUCUUUUAUCACAUUGAUGAUAAUGUUUUGUUCAAAGUUUGGGGGAGUCUUUUUGUUAUGUUAGGUUUAUUUAAUUUUAUUUGUUUUUAUUUUAAGUUAGCUUUUAGUUUAAAUUAUGUUUUGCAUGUGUUAUUUGUGUUAAAAAAAUUUUUUUUUGAGAUAAUUUGCACCUUAUCCAUGAUUGUUCCAAUCCUAGGAUGAUAAUUUGAUUAUCUUGUAAUUUUUAGCUUUUGAGAAACAUAUAGUUUGAUUUAAUUUUAUGUGAUAGUCUUAUGUUAGCUUUAUUUUAAAAUGUGACUUAUAAUAAUUUGAGCACCAUAUUUAUUUACUUAGAAUUUUUAUGUGAUUUAGAGAAAGUUUAUGUUGAUACAAAGUAUAGCGAAGUCAAGAAUUCUAAAAUUUGUUUGAUUCUCUCUUGAUGUGAAAUCUUAGAUAAACACUUAGGAUAGGAAAGUGAUUUAGGCCAUCUUUGGAUCAUUUGAGCCUUACUGAGCUACCUUGUUAUAUAUUUAUCCUUAAUCACCUGUUUUGAGCUUAAUUUACUUUUUCUUUAUAUAUACACAACAAUAUUAGCCUUCGUGUUUUUAUUUAAUUUCAACAAUUUGAACAUUUUACCCUUAAAUUUUUUUAUCUUUCUAUGAAGUGUAUUAAGCUUAAAGAUAAAUUGAGGGAGAAAGGUGAAAAAAAAGGUGAUGGGUGCUUGAAAUUUACCCAUUUUUCAGAAUUGUCAAAAAUAAGUUGGAGGUGUAAAAAAAACGAGAAAAGAAAUAAAAUGUGUUGCACAAAGGAAAUUUUACUUCAAGUUUGGGGUGUUAUAAAAUUUUAUUGAGCUCUUCAUAGUCCUAGAUUGAUUAAGUGUUUAGGGUGAAUUUGAGUCUAAAAAUAUCUUUUAUCAUACCUUAACCCUAGCCUUACCAUANUUAUCAUACCUUGACCCUAGCUUUACAUUAUGAGCUUAAUAAAGACCUAUUGAUUUUUGAAUAAGUGUUAUUCUACAUUAGCGAAGAGAGAGAUGAAAAACAAACUUAUGAGAUCCUAGUACUAACUUAUGCUUAGAUUUGGCAUAAACUAAUCUGAAUUGCAUGAUAUAUUUUGUAAAAGAUUAUUCACACACACACAGGAAGUCCAUUCGAAAAAAUAAGUUUUCACUUGAAUUGAUGCAUGACUUUAAGGAUUAAUUGUAUUUUACCUUAAGCUGGAAUUGGGAUAAUUUCUAAGGGAAAAAUUGAGAAAUCAUGAUUUGGUAGUUCUAUCUCACCUUCAAGUAUUUUUAUGCUCAGUUUUCUUUUUAUUAUUUUUUUUUCUUGAAAACUAGCAAAAUCUUAAGUUUGAGGUGUGAUAAUUCUAUUUUGUAGAAUUAUUUUCGUCCAAUUUUGUUAUUAAGUAUUAGCUAAGUCCUUAAUUUUCAAUUAUAAUUUUCUUAUAUUUAGUUAUUUUUAUAAUUAGUUUAUUUUUAAGUGAGUUAUUUUAAUUUUAUGUUUAUUUCCUUUAAUUUGGUUAUUAUUUAUUAGUUUUUAUGUUUUUGUAGGAAUUAAGGGAAUUAGGCUUAAUUUUGGAAAAUUUCAUUCCCAGUAUUUAAUGAAAGCUUAUUUAUGACUUUAAAAAUAACAUAUAUUGUGCAUAUUUAAUUAUGAAGCAAACCAAGAACCACCUAAGCACCUUUUGAGUUUUUUUCCUUUUAUUAAAAAAUGAUGUUUUGAAUCCAAUGUUUUUAGAUAAAAAAAAAUUAUAUAAUUAUUUUGAAUCAAAUAUUUAAAUAUUUCUUUGAGUUACUUUUAAGUAAAAAGGAGUUUUAUGAAAUACAUAACUUAAAGGAGGGAGCUUUUAACUUUAAUUGAACUAGUUAUAUUUAUGAGGGCCCAAUAACCCAUAAAGGAGUCCAGCCCAUUCGGUUUACUUAUUGGCCAUUCAAGCCAUUUAAUUGACAAUGGUUUUUUUUUUUCAAGAAAAAAAACGUAGGCAUCAACUAGAGAAAAAUGAGAGUGUUGCAUUAAAUAAGAAAAAAUGAAGAAUUUGUCCUUUGUAGUGAUAGCAAGAGAAAAAUAAAUCGAAAUAUUGAUUGUAUUGUGAAGGAGUUAACGACAAGAAGUAAGAGCUCCCUAGGAGGGCUUCCUUACUGUAAGUUGCGAAUGAGGGGUUGAGAGGUGAGGCCUUGUUGCAUGGUAUGAAGGCAUGUGGUUGUCUUAGGAAUGGAAGCUAAUGAGAAGAUAAGGUGAGAAGAGUACUAACGGUUGGGGAAAGAGGGUUCAUGCUUUUAGGGAGGAUCUUUUUGUAGGUAGUGGAAGAGAAAAUAAGAGGAGGUGGAAUUUAUGGUAUGCUUUUGAUGAGGUCAAAUGAGGUCUGAUUGGCAUGGUUAAGGGAAGAAAGAGUUGGAAUGAUUGAGAAGGUAGGGAAAAUGAGCAUAUUCUCACAAGGCGGCAUAUGAGGUGUGUCAUAGUUUUAGAAAGAAACUGUGAAUCCCACAUCGAUUGUAUACUAGAGUGAGACUGAGUUUUUAAGUAUUUACACUAUCUUUAAGUUAUAAGGUGUCUUUUGUGAGAUAAAAUCAUGAGGUUUAAUAGGCCAAAGUGAAAAAUACCUUACAAGUUGGUGAAAUUUUCGACAAUUGGUAUUAGAGUCCACUUUAUGGGUACUAGUGAUGUGCUAUUAAUGACAGUGGAACUUUGUUGAAGUGGGGGAAGAUGUGCACCAAAUUGCUUUUCUUACUCGAUAUGGGCAUUAUGAGUUCCUUAUGAUGCUUUUUGGGUUGAAAAAUGCUCUAAUUGCUUUUAUGGGCUUGAUGAAUAGGGUAUCUAAUCUUGAUUUGGAUAAAUUUGUAGUUGUUUUUAUUGAUGCUAUUUUAGUUUACUCAUUUAGCUCAACAGAUCAUUUAACUCAACUUUGAGGCAAAAACAGCUGUUUGCUAAAUUGAAGAAAUGUGAGUUUUACCUUUUUAGUGUUGCUUUUUGAUCACUUUAUUUUAUAGAGUUAUUUGGUCUUAAUUUUCAAUAUAUUUUGUCUAAGUUCUUGAGAUUUAAUUUAAAUAUUAAGAGUUUUUAGCCAUUUAUUUUAUUUUAUUUUAUUAUAUUGGGUUCAAUUGUGAUAAGUUAUUUUAUGAUGUUUUAUUUUAAGUUUAGUUAUUAUUUAGGUUAAGUUUUAUGUUUUUGUAGGUGUACUUUGAAAUGUGGGCCUAUUUUGUGAAGGAGAUACAAUUUAGAUGCAAACUUCAACUACACAUGUUAUGGUUUUUUGAGCAUAUCUUUCACUAUAGAAGUUUAAUUGAUAUGAUUCUUAAACCAUUGGAAAUCUAAGAGGCAUAACUACAACUUUUAUGUUUACCACUUUGCUCAGUUCAACCUUAAAGGGGGUCAAAAAUCAUGUCAAAUUCAAAAUAGUGUAGUAGAGUCUGAAGAAGCAACGUACAGCUUUGAAUGCUGUGGCCAUGGAAGGAGUCAACGCCACGGUACCUUAACUAAGAAGAACGCUUCAAGG
rnacentral:lncRNA from 1 species